UAUGCCCCAGUACGUCCGUUUACACCAGCGUCUUCCCCCGGAGCCGCGGGUGUUGCCGUCUUGCCACACUGACUAACCACACCUUCUGCGUCAAUGUCUUGGCUUGAGAGACGUCGGGAGUCUCUCCCUGCCAUCCACCAGGUGGUACGUAGGCGGUUCUCUGGACCGGUUCUGCUGCCUCCGUUGUCCCGGCGACACUCCAGCCAGGACCAGCACUCUGACCACCGGCGCCUGCUUGCCCAACACAACCUGCC